GUGAACAACGGCGACGGAUCUCGAUCGGUGGAUUUCGCCGGCUGUCGGGAGGGAACCAAGGGCAUCGACGUUGGAUCAGGCCAGCAUCGAUUGUUUGGAGGAGGUAACAACCAUUGUUCCUUCCCGAUCUCUGUCCCUGUUCGUCGGCAAGAACAAGUCGUUGCCCUAACUUCGAUCUUGGAGGUAAGGGUUUGGUUUUGGUUGUGAAUUCGAACCUUGAUCCUUUCUAGUGUUGAUUCAGGUGGUUCUUUCUGGGAAGCAGAGACUGGUAUUUUGGUCCCGGCCACCACAACUCUGUUGGAUCGAUCUCUUCUUCGUAUCAGUGAUCGUCUCCGGUGAUUGAAGGGUGCAAAGAGGAUGCGAUGUGCUUAUUUUAGAUACUGGAUUGGGAAGUGCAGAGAAUCAAGCAAGGGUCAAGGAGUUGCUUCAUGUGGAGGAAUCAAAACUAGAGGAGGAUGAGGGAAAUACCACUCCAGCAGUGAGAUGGGUUCGAGAUGAUAAAUAUGAUUGCAUCCGAUUAAAGCAUUGCAAGGUGAGCUAUAUUCAUUGUGUAUCCCCCCUUCAGAGUACAUAUGUAUCUGUAUAGUAAUUAAUUUCAAUAUAGGCACAUCAAAUUACCUUAAUUGUUUCUGGACAUAGACUUAAUCCUUUGGAUUACUUUAUUUUAAUUGGUAGAGUAUUUGCCACUACCUUUCUAUUAUUCAUUCUUUUGCUUUGCAGGUUGUGAAAAAAUUGAUUGGCAUCGGAAAGGAGACUAUUUCACUACUGUCGUUCCUAGUGAUAUCCUAAUUAUGAAUUUUAGUUGUACUUAUUUUUAGUCAUUCCUAGUGCCUAUUUUAUAUCUCAGUUUUCUUUCUUUCUUUUUUCUAAUACACACUGACAAAUUGGAAAUAUAUAAAAAUCAUGACAUUAUACCUAGUUACCUAGCCUUUGAGGCAGGAAUCAGGAUGAAACCUAAAGUGCCCUGAAAAGUUUAGGCAUACCAAAUUCUCUCAGUUUAAUGACAGAGGUGUUUUAGAUUGUAAAUUUCAUCCGAGGCAGCCAUGGCUAUUCACAGCUGGAGCAGAUUCUGUCAUUAAACUGUAUUGCCACUAAUGAUAGAUUCUCCAAGAAACUUUGAAGAAUCUCCUCGAGUCAAGAUACGUGAGUACUUGCUGAUCCUACAUGACUACGGUAGCAAGUUCAUGUUCUUUGCUGAAGCUGCAACCUAUUUAUGAGGUCGUUCUAUAUGGCACCGGCACCUAGAGCAAGUUCGUGUUCUUUGCUAAAAUUGCAAUCUAUUUACAAGGUCUUUAGGUUAGUUUUGUUGUUAAUUUAUUUUAUUGUUGGCUGCUAAAACUGUCUAUAAUUUCUAAAUUACUUAUAAAGCUAUAUCCUUUUAUGUCGA